UACAGAGGGGGCAAGCGUUGUUCGGAAUUACUGGGCGUAAAGGGCGCGUAGGCGGCCUUCUAAGUCGAACGUGAAAUCCCCGGGCUCAACCCGGGAACUGCGUCCGAGACUGGAAGGCUCGAAUCCGGGAGAGGGAUGUGGAAUUCCAGGUGUAGCGGUGAAAUGCGUAGAUAUCUGGAGGAACAUCGGUGGCGAAGGCGGCAUCCUGGACCGGUAUUGACGCUGAGGCGCGA
rnacentral:rRNA from 1 species